rnacentral:rRNA from 1 species
AUUAAACGCUGGCGGCAUGCCUUACACAUGCAAGUCGAACGGCAGCACGGGGGCAACCCUGGUGGCGAGUGGCGGACGGGUGAGUAACACAUCGGAACGUGCCCUGGAGUGGGGGAUAACGCAGCGAAAGCUACGCUAAUACCGCAUAUUCUGUGAGCAGGAAAGCAGGGGAUCGCAAGACCUUGCGCUUUGGGAGCGGCCGAUGUCGGAUUAGCUAGUUGGUGGGGUAAUGGCCUACCAAGCCGACGAUCCAUAGCUGGUUUGAGAGGAUGAUCAGCCACACUGGGACUGAGACACGGCCCAGACUCCUACGGGAGGCAGCAGUGGGGAAUCUUAGACAAUGGGCGCAAGCCUGAUCUAGCCAUGCCGCGUGAGCGAUGAAGGCCUUAGGGUUGUAAAGCUCUUUCAGGGGGGAAGAUAAUGACUGUACCCCCAGAAGAAGCCCCGGCUAACUCCGUGCCAGCAGCCGCGGU